GAGGGUAUAACUCAGUGGUAGAAUGCAUGCCUAGCAUGCACAAGGGCCUGGGUUCAAUUCCCAGUAGCUCUG
rnacentral:tRNA from 1 species